UCCAGAUCACGGCGAGUGGGACACGUGGUGGGCAUUGGUUGGCCUAGGGGCACCUGCCAUCGUAAUUGCGCCAGGCUCCGUUGCCUAUUUAAACCCCCCACCCUUCCUCUGAGGGCUUUACUUUGCCUAAAGGAUGACACCUUUCUUUCGCCUGAGAGCUUAGCCACUCAGCCACUCCAUCGGUGCCCCUACCAACUCCGAGCAUCCUCCACGCUGGUCUCUGCCGUCUCCAGCCCCCGAUUCCUCUCUAAGGGGUUCCCCCACCAGGGCCUCCACCCUGGAGGCCAACCUCAAGAGGAUGCC
rnacentral:lncRNA from 1 species